CUACGGGGGGCAGCAGUGAGGAAUAUUGCACAAUGGGGGGAACCCUGAUGCAGCAACGCCGCGUGGAGGAUGACGCAUUUCGGUGUGUAAACUCCUUUUAUAUGUCAAGAAAAUGACGGUAGCAUAUGAAUAAGCACCGGCUAACUCCGUGCCAGCAGCCGCGGUAAUACGGAGGGUGCCAAGCGUUACUCGGAAUCACUGGGCGUAAAGGACGCGUAGGCUGGAAAGUAAGUCAGGGGUGAAAUCCAACAGCUCAACUGUUGAAUUGCUCUUGAAACUACUUACCUAGAGUAUGGAAGAGGAAGAUGGAAUUAGCGGUGUAGGGGUAAAAUCCGUAGAGAUCACUAGGAAUACCUAUUGCGAAGGCGAUCUUCUGGGACAUUACUGACGCUGAGGCGUGAAAGCGUGGGGAGCAAACAGGAUUAGAUACCCGCGUAGUC
rnacentral:rRNA from 1 species